CCUACGGGGUGCAGCAGUGAGGAAUAUUGGUCAAUGGACGAGAGUCUGAACCAGCCAAGUAGCGUGAAGGAUGACUGCCCUAUGGGUUGUAAACUUCUUUUAUAUGGGAAUAAAAUGUUCCACGUGUGGGAUUUUGUAUGUACCAUAUGAAUAAGGAUCGGCUAACUCCGUGCCAGCAGCCGCGGUAAUACGGAGGAUCCGAGCGUUAUCCGGAUUUAUUGGGUUUAAAGGGAGCGUAGGUGGAUUGUUAAGUCAGUUGUGAAAGUUUGCGGCUCAACCGUAAAAUUGCAGUUGAAACUGGCAGUCGUGAGUACAGUAGAGGUAGGCGGAAUUCGUGGUGUAGCGGUGAAAUGCUUAGAUAUCACGAAGAACUCCGAUUGCGAAGGCAGCUCACUGGACUGCAACUGACACUGAGGCUCGAAAGUGUGGGUAUCAAACAGGAUUAGAUACCCCAGUAGUC
rnacentral:rRNA from 1 species